rnacentral:snoRNA from 1 species
UCUGUGGAAAAUGAUGACUUGGAACUUUUUUCCCCAACAGAUCGACAGUGUUGAUCCAAGAAGCAUUUUAGCCAAAACCUGUCUGAUUCCACCAGA